GGGCUGGAGAUGGCAGCGAGUGUGUAGGGAAAAAAGGGGAAGAUAAUGGCAGUAGGAAAAGAGGCAUAGAGCGAAUAAAGCAAUGGCUAAUGCUAACAUUAGUAAGAUAGUAAGUCGGCGUCUAUGUGAGACCAGACAGAGAGGCAGUGAAACGGGUGAGCUUAAAUAGAGGAGUGGAGGUGAUUGUGAAACGAGGUGCAGGUGAACUAAAUUAGAAUUCGGGUGAGUGAGUGCGCUGGUGAGAGGUCGAGUCCUGUGUGCCUGUGACAACAGCUCAAGGAAAGAGGCAGACCUGGGAGAAAAUAUCUCAGCAGAUAAACUCCUCAUUCCCUCUGGUUGUGUGCACCAGCGAGGAAUGUGAAAAGUGGUGGUAUGUGUUGCAGUCUCAAGCCAGGAGGGAGAUUGCAGUACACAAACGGGAUUCUUCAAGCACAGGUGGAGGACCACCCGCUAAACAACUGUCUCAGGUAGCGGAAACUGUAUUUAAUGUACUUGGACAUUCGGAAAUAUCUGUCACUGGGCUGAAGGAAGGCACAGACAGCUCAAUGAUCCAGCUUAUGAGAAUACAACAAAAGUAGGACAACAUGGAGCCAUCAGAGGAACCAGGGCCAUCAACAUCGCAGGUGUGCGAUCCUCAGCCAGUGUAUCAGAUAAUCCUGCCUGCUGCAGCCACCCCAACACCCUCCCUGCUGGACAGAAAAUUGGAGAUUGAAAUUGAUACCCUCACACAGCACAAAAAAGUUCUCUGUUUACAGAAGGAGCAUUAUAAGCUAAAAAUUUAGCUGCUAAAAUAUAAGAAGAAUGACAAAAAGUGUAUCACUGUCACGUGGUCUUUAUAACAGCAGUUGUGUUCAACUACAGUUAUGGCAUUAAUACGUUGAGUGGGAGAUGUGAGCGCAUCUCUAAUAAGUUUGACCACAAACAUUAGCCCAUCGUGAUCCAAUCUGGAGAAGAGCAACCGGGGAAAAGGUGUACCAGUGGAGUCUUGGCCACAUCUGUAACAGAGUAUCCAGGUCCAGAGGGGCCGGGUGAGAACGGGAAAACCAUCGAGGAUAGUGGGUCGACUCUUCGGAGGUGAACAGAUCCACUUCCAACCAUCCAAAAAUCUGACAAAUGCACUCCACCACUUGUGGGUGGAGAUGCCACUCCACAGGCGUCAGUACCUGAUUUACAUGCCCUGGGAUGAAAAUGACUCUCAGUGGGAGAAACCUGGGCCCGUAUUCACAAAGCUUCUUAAGCCUAAAAGUUGCUCCUAGUGACGAAAUUCUAAGAAAAUUCUUAGUAGUACUGUAGUAAUGCCAUAAUGCCAGAAAUGAAAGUGAUUACAACACUGAGGUAUUUGGCAACUGGAAAAAUGCAACAGUGCAGUAGUGAUGACUUUGUGUCUGUCACAACCUUCCAUCAGCAGAUUGAUCACACAAACUGAAGUGCUUUCACAGUCUCAUAUAUUGAUUUGCGAUUCUCCAUAAACUGUACACAAAUCGGUGUUCGUCUCAGUCCCCUUUAAAUUUCAUAUGAAAACGGCGGCAGACUUUGGCUCCUCCCUGUCUUUCAGCGCGUUCUUCAAUCCACAGACCACGGCGUCGCAGAGCAAAGAUCAGAGGGCGUGUGUGUGUGUGUGUGUGAGAUCAGGAAGACUCGUAUUUGGCUUGUUCAGUACUCAAAUGUUAUACACAUCUAUGCAAUACAGUGGAAUGCUGCAAUAAGUUUACCAUCCUACCCGGUUAGUCAAACGUUUAUUUUAUUUAUUUAUUUAUUUAUUUAUUUAUUUUUUACUAUUAUACCCUCAUUUGGGGCUGAGCCCCCCUUAAAUGAAUAUUCUAGAAUCGCCCCUGGUCCAUUCUAUUAUCAUAUAUUCUGUUUUCACAAAGAGCACAUUUUAAGACCUUUACAGAUUUUUUAUCAACCUAUUACAGUCCUUGAAUUGCUGCGUCAUCCCUAGCAAUGGGGUCAACCACACCUUCUUACUAAGAUAAAGGUUUUUGUACUUUCCUUACUCAGAGUUGCUCUGAGAAGUUACCUAAAUCACUUUUAGUCUAGGACUCCCAGCUAGGACUUUUUAGGCUAAGAUAGGAGCUCUCUGAGAGAAUUCUAAGAAGCUUUGUGAAUACGGACCCUGGUCUCUUUUAAGAGCAGAACACAGACCACCCUGAAGAUUGAUAUUGGAAACUACCAUAGUGCUGUCUGUGUGCACUUACACAUAGUAGCCCCUGAGGUGUGGGAGAAAGUGUUUCAAUGCUACAAAAGCAAUUUAUGUGCCAUGAGAGAUAAGGGCCCCCCCAGAGACCCUGGGUGGGGAAGCCAUUCAAGUCUGCUCAACAGCCCGAAAAUGAGGCAUCCAUUAAAAGAGCUUUGCGACAAUGCCAUGCUCAUAGAGUGGGACCUAAGGUCAGGAACCCAAGGUCAGGUCUUUUCCACAUAAGAAGGGUACGAAACCCAUGGUAUGUAACUUUUAUGACCCUGAGGGGAUGCCUGCAGGGAUGAAAGCCUGGGCACUGUCUGCAUUUCAGCUUUCACUGCUGACAGGAUGAAAGCCACCUGAGCAAGAGACAGACAUGCCUGCAUCCUGUAAUCCCAAACUACCCCCAAGAAGGUGGUUCUCUGAGAAGGAGAACGCUCACACACGGUACAGUAAUGAGUGUCUGCAGGUAACAGUGAAACAUGGUGGAGGUUCCUUGAAAGUUUGGGGCUACAUUUCUGCAAAUGGAGUUGGAUAUUUGGCCAGAAUUAAUGGUGUCCUUAAUGCAGAGAAAUAUAAACAGAUACACUAUAUUGCCAAAAGUUUUAGGACACCCCUCCAAAUCAUUGAAUUUAGGGGUUGGGCUUGGCUCCUAAGUUCCAGUGAAAGGAAUUCUUAAUGCUUCAGCAUACCAAGACAUUUUGGACAAUUUCAUGCUCCCAAUUUUGUGGGAACAGUUUGGGGAUGACCCCUUCCUGUUCCAACAUGACUGUGGUGACGGUGCCACGCACACCGCCACACGCAUGCAUUGCAGGGCGGAGAGAAAGUGCUGCUAAGCUCUUUGCCCACCAGCAGAACAACACAACGGAGAGACUGACCCUGCCGGCCACACGAGGUAAGGCCUGCCCCCUGCUGGACUAACAGGAACGCUAUGCUUUGUUUACAGGCAGCUCAGACUAAAGCCAGGCCUUUGUGGAACCGCCGAAGCUCUGCCUCCCUCCUGGAUCUGCACCAGCCGUCUCCUGACGUCUUCAGCCUUCGCCAGGACCCCGCUGCUGCCUCCAGCCCGCCUCGGCCCCUUCUACGCCCCUUCAGGGAAGAAUCGUCCUAGUUGGCUCUUUUUGCUAUUUUUCUUUCCUCCCUUUUGCUCACCAGCUAUCCUGAGUUCAUUUCAGGAUAUCCUGAGGUUCCCUAUUUUUCUGUUUAGUGAUAAAAAAACUGGUGUUAACAUGUUCCCUGGCUCUGUGUGUUGUUCUCUGUCCCCGCUUAGCGCGCUACACUGCACACUAGUGCACAAAGCAAGGUCCAGAUAGAACACCUUUGGGAUUAAUUAGAGUGGAGACUGCAAGCCAGGCCUUCUCAUCCAACAUCAGUGUCUGACCUCACAAAUGUGCUUCUAGAGGAAUGGUCAAAAAUUCCCAUAAACACACUCUUAAACCUUGUGGAAAGCCUUCUGUUACUUUUCAUGGUUGUUUAUUUAUAUAAUGUUAUUGUUGGACACUAUAUGCUGCUGUGUGCUUUUUCUCUCUUUCUGUGUUUGUGUGUGUUCCCUGCUGCUCAACAAGGUAUGGAGGAGAGGGAGAUCAUUGCUCAUACAUGCUGCUUGUUACUGUGCAGAGGCUGCAAGCUUAAAAGUUGUUAACAUGCCUUCCACAUUGAAGCUUGUCUUCCAGAGUGCUGUGCCUCUUGCCUGCCUUGUGUUGUGGUGUUUAUUAAAGAGAUUGAUACUGUGUAAACUUACUCAAAGUUGUGUGUUGAAAAUCGUGCUGUGUGGACUUGGCAUUACUCAAAGUUGUGGCCUAUUAUAACCUACUGAACUUAAGUGAUUACUGGCGUUGAUGCUACUUGUCUGUUUGUUGGAAGCCGUAGGGAGGUGGGUGCUGAACCGUUUCUGUGAACCCUUUUCACCUGUUUUUGCUUAGCUAGGGAGUUAGCAUACAUUUCUGUUGUUAAGUAUAUUUUAUUUUGUCAAUUUUACCUCCUAACUAGUCAGAGGGUCCUUUUGUUUGUUGUUUUGGCCUUUCCCCCUCCUGAAGUCUAUUUUUGCUUCCUAUUUUAUUUUGUGAUUUGUAAUUUUUGUUAAUAAAAUGCUGGAAUUGUUUUAUUAAUUUUAUUUAUACAUUUUUCUGUUACUCCCUUACUCUGUGACUCUUUAUUUCUGGGAUGUAACACUUCCCAGAAGAAGCUGUUAUAGCUGUAAAGGGCAGGACAACUCCAUAUUAAAUUCAUGUGCAUGUAAAGACAGGCUUCCCAGUUUUGGCCUGGUUUGCAGUCUCCACGCUAAUUCAUCUCAAAGGUGUUCUAUCAGGUUGAGGUCAGGACCAGUCAAGUUCCACACCAAACUCGCUCAUCCAUGUCUUUGUGGACCUUGAUUUGUGCACUGGUGCACAGUCAUGUUGGAACAGGAAGGGGUCAUCCCCAAACUGUUCCCACAAAGUUGGGAACAUGAAAUUGUCGAAAAUGUCUUGGUAUGCUGAAGCAUUAAGAGUUCCUUUCACUGGAAUUAAGGGGCCGAGCCCAACCCCUAAAAAACAACACCUGAUUUUAAUGAUUUGGAGGGGUGUCCCAAAACUUUUGGCAAAAUAGUGUACUUUUUUCCAUCAUACCAUCAGGCAGGCAUCUGAUUGUCCCCAAAUUUAUUCUGCAGCAGGACAACAACCCCCAAACAUACAACCAGUCUUAAAGCAUAGAAAAGAACAAGGAGUCCUGCAAGUGAUGGUUUGGCCCCCACAGAGCCCUGAUCUCAAGAUCAUCAAGUCUGUCUGGAAUUAUAUGUAGAGACAGGCGAUCUAUGGUGAGUUCUCCAAGAUGUUUGGAACAUCCUACCUGCAGAGUUCUUUCAAAAACUGUGUGCAAGUCUUCCUUGAAGAAUUGAUACUGUUUUGUCAACAAAGGUUGGUCACACCAAAUAUUUGAUUUGCAUUUCUCUUCUCUUCAUUGUCACUAUCCGUUUUGUUAAUUGAUAAAUUAACCUUGAUAAAACUUAAAAUUUUAAAAACAUUCUUACUUUACAGCAUUUUUUCACACCUUUGCACAGUACUUUGUCUCACUUUUAUUUUGACUCCUGUUCUUGCUUGAAUAAGGGCAGUGCAUGGUUUGUUUUGUGGCAUCAGCAUUUUCUGUAUUUACUGGACUUGAAAUGUUAAAAAAAAAAGUGAAAGGAUAAAAGAGGGUGGUUGCACAUGCUAUGUGUGGUAUUAAGUUUCAGUCUUUUUAUAAAUAUUAUUUAAUGUCAUUUGUAACUGCAAGGAGGGUGACCUGAGGAUAACUUCAGUCCUCCACCAAUGGAACACAAAUACACAAGACACAAAAUAUGCAAUAUAUAAAAUAUUUUAAAAAACUACUUAGAAAUCUAUACCCUAGAAAAAAAGAACAAGUUCAUACAUGGAACAAAAUAAACACUGCUUAAGUGUGGCAAAAAGAUAUCCAUAGCUGACAUGAGACCAAAUCUCCCCUAAAAUACUGGCAAUUCUUGACCUUGUGAGGAUAUUUGGCUGGUCCUUUUUGUACACAGCUUUUAUGUGAAAAGAAAAAAAAUACAAGUGGUUAGGGUUACUAUUAAAUUCAGGUGUUAAUUAUCUGUAUAAAUAAUGAUAUCAGUAGAAGGUUCUCAUAAGUAUAUUAAGACAAAUAUGUAGUAGCGCUUUCCAAGACAUGAUUACAAUCUGCCAUCUUCUGGUUACAGGGUGGUACUGCGCUUGAUUUCUAACACUGUGUCCCAGUCAGGACGAUCUCCAUGAAUUCAUGUGUUCCGUCCUCCAGUCUGUCCAAAUAUGAAAUUAUUGCUUACUAAAUUGUAAAGUGUCACCCAACAUAAAUAAAGACUUCAUGCGGUAGUUUCCACACACACUGGUAUGAUCAAAUCUCCUGUUUUUCCUGGUUGCCACAAAAAUUGCACAUCUUUGGAGGAUAUUAAAGGAAGAUGAUUUUAUCAGAACAUAAGUAAAAUUUUACACAGACGUUCAUUUUCAGCUCUGUGUUUAUUGUUAAAGGGUUAUAUAGCCUGCAGAAGUGAGUAGUCCAGUCAGAAGGUCAGUUGCCCACAGGGAGUAUGCUGUAACAUGGUGUUAAAACUUACCCCUCUCAGCUACAUUUUUACUUUUGCAGUUAAAGAUUUAACAUACCAUGUUUCUCUAAUUGACGUCUAACUUUUAAGGUUUUAUAUUAACUCCUGUUUCUACUUGAAUAAGAGCAGUCUAUGGUUCGUUUUGCGGUGUCACCGUUCUCUGUAUUUACUGGAGUUUGUUUGAAAAAAAUGGCCGGUCAUGCAUGCAAUGUGUGGUUGGUUUUAUUUGCCAAUUGAAAACAUUUCGCUUCAUUAGAAACUUGAAUCUCAAAUAUUGAACAUAAAUUUAUUUAAAUAUUUAAGUGUCUAAAUAUUAAAUAUUUAAUAUUUAAAUAAAUAUUUAUUUGAAACCCACUGGUCUUGUUGCAGCUCUUGUUGCAGGUAGGGUGACAUGACGAUAGAGUCAGUCAGCCACUGAUGGAACACAAACACACAAUUCAUGAAAUAUGCAAUAUUUAAAAGAUUUAAGAAAAAAAAACAAACU